CGCUGAUAGAGUCGGCAUGGCGGCGCAUCCGGGCUCCGAGCUGUAGUCAAGAUGACUGAGAGUGGGGCGGAGAUCCGAGGCUGGGAGGAGAGCUCCUUCUCUGGGAUAUUAUAAUGAGCCUGAUCCUCAUGUUGGUGAACAGCAGGGCUCCCACUACUCACUAUCUCCCUUAUCGAUUAAUAGAUGGAGGAGUGACUGUGGAUUAAACCCAAAGAUCAUAAGUAUGACAGCCAUGGCUACAAUCCACAAACCGUUUGUUGGCUCUUUGGUAUUGAUGACAUC